UAGAGUUUGAUCCUGGCUCAGGAUGAACGCUGGCGGCGUGCUUAAUACAUGCAAGUCGAACGGAGAGCAAGCAAUUGUUCUUAGUGGCGAACGGGUGAGUAACGCGUUGGUGACCUGUCCCGAAGAUGGGGAUAACAGUUCGAAAGGACUGCUAAUACCCGAUGUGGUUACGAGGGUUAGAGGCCUGGUAACUGAAGGAGCAAUCCGCUUUGGGAGGGGCCUGCGUCCCAUCAGCUAGUUGGUAGGGUAAAAGCCUACCAAGGCGAAGACGGGUAGGGGACCUGAGAGGGUGACCCCCCACACUGGCACUGAAACACGGGCCAGACACCUACGGGUGGCAGCAGUAGGGAAUAUUGCACAAUGGGCGAAAGCCUGAUGCAGCAACGCCGCGUGCGCGAUGAAGGCCUUCGGGUCGUAAAGCGCUUUUCGGGGAGAUGAGGAAGGACAGUAUCCCCGGAAUAAGGCUCGGCUAACUACGUGCCAGCAGCCGCGGUAAAACG
rnacentral:rRNA from 1 species